rnacentral:rRNA from 1 species
UACGGAGGGUGCAAGCGUUAUCCGGAUUUACUGGGUUUAAAGGGAGCGUAGGUGGGUUGAUAAGUCAGUGGUGAAAUCUCCGGGCUUAACCUGGAAACUGCCGUUGAUACUAUCGAUCUUGAAUACUGUGGAGGUUAGCGGAAUAUGUCAUGUAGCGGUGAAAUGCAUAGAUAUGACAUAGAACACCAAUUGCGAAGGCAGCUGGCUACACAAGCAUUGACACUGAGGCUCGAAAGCGUGGGGAUCAAACAGG